rnacentral:snRNA from 1 species
UUUUAUCCUCAGCCUUUUGGCUAAGAUCAAGUGUAGCAUCUAUUCUUAUCAGUUUACAUAUUUGCUCACCUUCUGAAGGAGGUUGUAAUGAGAAUGAAGGAGGGUGAGAAAAACGAAAAUCCAUAGAUUCCUAAAAGCCUAAUUUCCCCUGUGUUUUUGCCUCCCACCAUCA